GGGAAGUUGUGUUGAAUUGGUAUCCGAAUCUACAACGAGGUAUGUAAAGCAUACUCUAACAAUGUUCUUUGGCAUGAAAACACCAAUGUUCCAUCAAGUAAGAUUCCGAGGUUGUCCAAAAACAUGUAUUGUUCUACAUUACCAACGAAGUUGUUUCCAUUCUAUAAAGUGUCAAAAUGUUUCAUUGAUAUACCGAAAGGCUCCUAUUUCAUUGUUGUGAUAUUGAUGAUUCCGAAACACAUUGUUGAUGUACCAAUGAGUCUUUAUUACAUCGUUAUUGUAUAGAAAGUCUAUUACUUGGUUCCUAUUGAUGUAUCAUUAUUCCAAAGGUACUAUAUUGGCAUGAACACUAAUGUAAUAAUCUCAAAAGCUUUUGAACUAAGUUAUUGGAAAGAUCUCUUAUGUGUGUUACUUGAUAUACGUGUGGGUGGUAGCUCAGGGGCUUAAGCCUAGCAUGGGCCGAUCCCGAUAUUUGAUAUGAUUACAGUUGAUAUGUACUGGGGGCAGCCUAAUGGUCACAGUACGGUACAGUAUUGAUUAUUGUUAGGUGGUUGGAGGUUCGGGAGGAGGAGGUAAUGGCGAAUGAUAAUUGUAAAGAAUAAAAUGAACGAAUGUAUACCGUUCCACAAAUGUGUUUGAAUUCAAGAACCCAAUUCAGAUUAAUGAUAAUGUACAUGAUCCUAAAAGUGUUUAUGAAGUGUGGUUCACUUCUAUUAUGAUUUAUUCACUUGCGUCUGAUUUUCUUGAUCCCCCAUAUCACAUAUGAUUAUUUACAGCUUUACAUACUCAGUACAUAUUUCGUACUGACGUCCCCCACGGGGACCUGCAUUUCAUGCUGCAGGCACAGGUGCUUCAGCUCAUUCACAACAUAAAUAGGAGCCAGGUCAUACAGCUAUUGUUGGUGAGCUCCAGUUUGCUUCGGAGCUUUCCGAGUCGGUCCCUUAUGUUUUGUUAUUGUACAGGAGUCAUGUGUGGGCGGGAGUUUGUCCCGACCCUAGUUAUGUCAUGUAUAUCCUAG
rnacentral:lncRNA from 1 species